AGAGCCCGAGCAAGGGGCUGUUGAAGAGGGAGGGGGCAACCCGAACUCCGGAAAUAGGAUUGGCUAGGAGGUAAACACUGCGAGCGAGAAUGACAGCGUGAGGUGCCAACCCCUGAGGGACUGGCCGGGGUAGGCGGAGCCGUGCCUGCAGAGUGCAUGAGAGGGGCGCAGUCCCUCAUCCCCGGAGCACUGUUGUGUCAGGCUAUGGGGCUGGAGAAACACACGUCUGGAACGGGUGGCCAAUGCCAGGUGCUUCAGAGGGAAUGAACAUAACAGUCCCUGACUUGUCAGAGGAUGGGAAUGUUUCAGAGACAACAUACUCAGCCACUCAGGAUAUGGCUACACUGAAGCUGGAAGUGAGCUUUCCAGCCUGGACAGACAGACACUUGUGAUAGCAGAACUCCUGCUAGCGUGCUAAAAAGACCUGUAUUAACAUUGAAGUCUAAGCUUGGAUAGCUUGCAAGCUUGUCUCUUU